AACGAACGCUGGCGGCAUGCCUAACACAUGCAAGUCGAACGAAGCCUUCGGGCUUAGUGGCGCACGGGUGCGUAACGCGUGAGAAUCUGCCCCUUGCUUCGGAAUAACAGUUAGAAAUGACUGCUAAUACCGGAUGAAGUCUUCGGACCAAAGAUUUAUCGGCAAGGGAUGAGCCCGCGUAGGAUUAGGUAGUUGGUGGGGUAAAGGCCUACCAAGCCGACGAUCCUUAGCUGGUCUGAGAGGAUGAUCAGCCACACUGGGACUGAGACACGGCCCAGACUCCUACGGGAGGCAGCAGUGGGGAAUAUUGGACAAUGGACGCAAGUCUGAUCCAGCAAUGCCGCGUGAGUGAUGAAGGCCUUAGGGUUGUAAAGCUCUUUUACCAGGGAUGAUAAUGACAGUACCUGGAGAAUAAGCUCCGGCUAACUCCGUG
rnacentral:rRNA from 1 species